AUCGAACGCUGGCGGCGGGCUUAACACAUGCAAGUCGAGCGAGCGGCGGACGGGUGCGUAAUGUCUGGUAAACCGCGUGAUGGAGGGGGAUAACAACUGGAAACGGUAGCUAAUACCGCAUACCAUCAGAUGUGCCCAGAAGGGAUUGGCGAGUAGGUGGGGUAAUGGCGUACGUAGGCGGCGGUCCCUAGCUGGUCUGAGAGGCUGACCAGCUACACGGUAUCUGAGAAACGGUCGAGACUCCGACGGUGGGCAGCAGUGGGGAAUAUUACGGGAGGGGGGCGAGGCUGAUGCAGCCAUGCCGCGGGUAUGAAGAAGGCCUUCGGGUUGUAGAGUACUUUCAGCAGGAGGCGGUACCCGCAGAGAAAGCACCGGCUAACUCCGUGCCAGCAGCCGCGGUAAUAC
rnacentral:rRNA from 1 species